UACUAUAGUUUCUGUACUUAUAAUAUUUUGAGUAUUCGAUACUAUUGUUUUUUGUAUUACCUAUACUUACUUAUUAAACCUACUGAAUAUUAUCGUUAUAUAUUAGCAUUCAUUAUCUUAGACAGAUAAAUUAAAUACUUUAUACUAUUUUAUUGGCCAAGGAAACCGUUUACAAAUAUAACAGUAAAUAAUGUAUUACCUAAUUAUACGACAAUGU